ensembl:snRNA U6 U6 spliceosomal RNA
CUGAUUUAUUUAGCAGCACAUAUACUAAAAUUGGAAUAAUACAGAGAACAUUAUUAGCAUAGCCCUUGCACAAGGAUGAUAUGUAAAUCAUGAAAUAUUCCAUAUUUUU